GCACUGAUAGCUCAGCGCCAGAGCGC
rnacentral:tRNA from 1 species